AGCGAACGCUGGCGGCAUGCCUAACACAUGCAAGUCGCACGGUCGGGGGUGACCUUCGGCAGUGGCGGACGGGUGAGUAACGCGUAGGGAGUCUAUCCUUGGAGUGGGGGACGAACCGCGGGAAACCGCGGCUAAUACCGCAUGAUGCCUGAGGGCCAAAGCUCGCGAGAGCGUCUGGGGAGGAGCCUGCGUCCGAUUAGCUAGUUGGUGGGGUAACGGCCCACCAAGGCGUCGAUCGGUAGCUGGUCUGAGAGGAUGAUCAGCCACACUGGGACUGAGACACGGCCCAGACUCCUACGGGAGGCAGCAGUGGGGAAUAUUGGACAAUGGGCGCAAGCCUGAUCCAGCAAUGCCGCGUGGGUGAAGAAGGU
rnacentral:rRNA from 1 species